CUUCGCCUAGCUUACGUUAUAAAGCAUCAGCUUGAAGAGCUGAGGAAAUGUGGUGUCAUCAUGGGGAAGG
rnacentral:tRNA from 1 species